rnacentral:rRNA from 1 species
GUGGGGAAUAUUGGACAAUGGGCGAAAGCCUGAUCCAGCAAUGCCGCGUGAGUGAUGAAGGCCUUAGGGUUGUAAAGCUCUUUUACCCGGGAAGAUAAUGACUGUACCGGGAGAAUAAGCCCCGGCUAACUCCGUGCCAGCAGCCGCGGUAAUACGGAGGGGGCUAGCGUUGUUCGGAAUUACUGGGCGUAAAGCGCACGUAGGCGGUUUUGUAAGUUAGAGGUGAAAGCCUGGGGCUCAACCCCAGAAUUGCCUUUAAGACUGCAUCACUUGAACGUCGGAGAGGUGAGUGGAAUUCCGAGUGUAGAGGUGAAAUUCGUAGAUAUUCGGAAGAACACCAGUGGCGAAGGCGGCUCACUGGACGACUGUUGACGCUGAGGUGCGAAAGCGUGGGGAGCAAACAGGAUUAGAUACCCGGGUAGUCC